rnacentral:tRNA from 1 species
AGGUCCUUGUGCGGCGCGUCCUGCAGGUUCUGGUCCUGCGUGUAGGCGUGGAUCGUCGUCAUGAGGCCCUU